rnacentral:lncRNA from 1 species
AACAUAGAUAGUGGUGCGAGUCUUGAAGAGACUUGAAGGCCAAAGAUCUCCUGAUGCUAAGUGUGCUCAUGUUGAAAACAAAUCCUCUGUUUUGACUAUGUCUCUUUAGGAUUUGGCCGCAAAUCUGAAGGUGUUCUGUACGUUUAUCAUCUUGAAUUUUGAAGCUUCUGCUCAGCAAAAAGCUGAUUGAUACAGUCACUGAGUUUUCUGGAUAUCAGCAUAUUUCUACUUCCCCUUUCCUCUUCAAGAAGUGAAAAGCAGUACCAUUCUCAGAACAACUUCUGACCCGAGGCUGUGUGGUUGGAACCAACCUCAACUCUUCUAGAAGUAAAUAAGAGGCUUCCAGAGGAUUCAUGGAGAAGUGGUGCUGCAGAUGAUAAAAUGACAUAAAAAAAAAAAAACAAACAACAUCUCUUCAG